UACGUAGGGACCGAGCGUUGUCCGGAUUCAUUGGGCGUAAAGAGCUCGUAGGCGGCCACUCAAGUCGAAUGUGAAACCUCGAGGCUUAACCUCGAGCCUGCAUUCGAUACUGGGCGGCUAGAGUCUGGUAGGGGGAUCUGGAAUUACUGGUGUAGCGGUGGAAUGCGCAGAUAUCAGGAGGAACACCGGUGGCGAAGGCGGGAUCCUGGGCCAGUACUGACGCUGAGGAGCGAAAGCGUGGGGAGCAAACAGG
rnacentral:rRNA from 1 species